UACGUAGGGUGCAAGCGUUAAUCGGAAUACUGGGCGUAAAGCGUGCGCAGGCGGUGAUGUAAGACAGAUGUGAAAUCCCCGGGCUCAACCUGGGAACUGCAUUGUGACUGCAUCGGCUGGAGUGCGGCAGAGGGGGAUGGAAUUCCGCGUGUAGCAGUGAAAUGCGUAGAUAUGCGGAGGAACACCGAUGGCGAAGGCAAUCCCCUGGGCCUGCACUGACGCUCAUGCAC
rnacentral:rRNA from 1 species